GUUAAUCUGUAGGACUGACCAAUAUGUAUGUUAAUUAUUGAUGUAGUCUUUCAAGUUGCAGCCUUGAAAACAUUGAUCAUUGAGUAUUAAUGUCAAAAGCUAAACUUAUAUACUAACCUAAAUUCUUCAUGAGUGCACUUAAUGAAAAAAUGGCCUCAUAUUACAAGCAUUUAUGUGAAUGCACUCUAGCCUCUUACCAUUAGGCCACUUUUAUUGAGUUUCUGGUACUAUAGCUUUUAAGGUCAUAAACAGUUGGGACUUGGGAGUUGAAUGAAUGAAAAAAUAAAAUUUGAACAAAUGCAAUAUACUGCUUGAAACAGGAUAGCAAGAAUGAUUACAGAAAAUGGAGAAGGCAAUGAAAAUUUUCAUGCCAUUGAUAUAGUUCUGAUAGCAGUGACCACAAUUAUGGAGGUGCAACAUAAUGGAGGAAAUAAUUUUUAUAGCUGUAUGGUAACCUCUAUGACUGAGCUGGCAGUGGUAGUGAUAGUAUUAUAAGCUGUUCUGCAGAAAGCGAUUUACACAGGAACUAGUGCAGAAACCAAUGUUCUUGGGUUUUAAGUUCAAUUACUAGUUUGUUUCUGAGUACUGGGUUUUUGGCUUACAUGUUGUGUCUGAAAGGCAUUGUUCAUGUUAUCUCUUCCCAUAUCCCCUGCGUUUAAUGGUAUGCUUAAAUAGAGAUUAUGUUUAUACAUGGCAUGGUCAGACUAU
rnacentral:misc_RNA from 1 species